UGGCGGCGCGUUAUACAUGCAGUCGAGCGAGCGGAACCAGCAGAAUCACUUCGGUGAGGACGCUGGGAAAGUGAGCGGCGGAUGGGUGAGUAACACGUGGGGAACCUGCCCUUAAGUCUGGGAUACCACUUGGAAACAGGUGCUAAUACCGGAUAAGAAAGCAGUUCGCAUGAACAGCUUUUAAAAGGCGGCGCAAGCUGUCGCUAAAGGAUGGACCCGCGGUGCAUUAGCUAGUUGGUAAGGUAACGGCCUACCAAGGCAGUGAUGCAUAGCCGAGUUGAGAGACUGAUCGGCCACAUUGGGACUGAGACACGGCCCAAACUCCUACGGGAGGCAGCAGUAGGGAAUCUUCCACAAUGGACGCAAGUCUGAUGGAGCAACGCCGCGUGAGUGAAGAAGGUUUUCGGACCGUAAAGCUCUGUUGUUGGUGAAGAAGGAUAGAGGUAGUAACUGGCCUUUAUUUGACGGUAAUCAACCAGAAAGUCACGGCUAACUACGUGCCAGCAGCCGCGGUAAUACGUAGGUGGCAAGCGUUGUCCGGAUUUAUUGGGCGUAAAGCGAGCGCAGGCGGAAGAAUAAGUCUGAUGUGAAAGCCCUCGGCUUAACCGAGGAAUUGCAUCGGAAACUGUUUUUCUUGAGUGCAGAAGAGGAGAGUAGAACUCCAUGUGUAGCGGUGGAAUGCGUAGAUAUAUGGAAGAAUACCAGUGGCGAAGGCGGCUCUCUGGUCUGCAACUGACGCUGAGGCUCGAAAGCAUGGGUAGCGAACAGGAUUAGAUACCCUGGUAGUCCAUGCCGUAAACGAUGAGUGCUAAGUGUUGGGAGGCUUCCGCCUCUCAGUGCUGCAGCUAACGCAUUAAGCACUCCGCCUGGGGAGUACGACCGCAAGGUUGAAACUCAAAGGAAUUGACGGGGGCCCGCACAAGCGGUGGAGCAUGUGGUUUAAUUCGAAGCAACGCGAAGAACCUUACCAGGUCUUGACAUCUAGUGCCAUUUGUAGAGAUACAAAGUUCCCUUCGGGGACGCUAAGACAGGUGGUGCAUGGCUGUCGUCAGCUCGUGUCGUGAGAUGUGGNUAAGUCCCGCAACGAGCGCAACC
rnacentral:rRNA from 1 species